GACGAAUGCUGGCUGUGUGCUUAACACAUGCAAGUCGAACGGUGAAAGGGAGCUUGCUCCCUGGAUCAGUGGCGAACGGGUGAGUAACACGUGGGCAACCUGCCCCUCACUCUGGGAUAACUCCGGGAAACCGGGGCUAAUACCGGAUACGACCUGGUGCGACAUCGCACCGGGUGGAAAGAACUUCGGUGAGGGAUGGGCCCGCGGCCUAUCAGCUUGUUGGUGGGGUAACGGCCCACCAAGGCGACGACGGGUAGCCGGCCUGAGAGGGCGACCGGCCACACUGGGACUGAGACACGGCCCAGACUCCUACGGGAGGCAGCAGUGGGGAAUAUUGCGCAAUGGGCGAAAGCCUGACGCAGCGACGCAGCGUGAGGGACGAAGGCCUUCGGGUUGUAAACCUCUUUCAGCGGGGACGAAGCGAAAGUGACGGUACCCGCAGAAGAAGCACCGGCUAACUACGUGCCAGCCGCCGCAGUAAGAC
rnacentral:rRNA from 1 species